rnacentral:tRNA from 1 species
AGUGGUCUAGUGGUAUGAUUCUCGCUUUGGGUGCGAGAGGUCGGGGGUUCGAUUCCCUCUUGUC